rnacentral:lncRNA from 12 species
UCCAUUCUUUCAUUUUCUAUAUUCUCUUUUCCUCGUGCUUUAUAUUCUUUCCUUUUUAUGUUUUCUCGAUCCCUCUUUCUUUCUAUUCUUUUCAUUUUUCUAUUUUCUCAUUCCCUCGUUCUUUCUAUUUCUCCUUUUUUUGUUUUCUCGUUUCUUCGUUCAUUCCACUUUCUUUUUCUAUUUUCUUGUUCCCUCGUUCUUUCUAGUCUUUCUUUUUCUAUUUUCUUGUCCCCUCGUUCUUUCUAUUCUUUCAUUCGUGACUUUCUUCUUCCCUCAUUCUUUCUAUUCCUCCUUUUUAUGUUUUCUCGUUCCCUCUUUCUUUCUAUUCUUUCAUUUUCUAUUGUCUCGUUCCCUCGUUCUUUCUAUUCUUUCUUUAUGUAUUUUCUCGUUCCCUCAUUCUUUCUAUUCCUGUUUCCUAUUUUCUCGUUCCCUCGUUCUUUCUAUUUCUCGUUUUUUUUGUUUUCUCGUUCCCACGUUCCUUCUAUUCUUUCAUUUUCCAUUUUCUCCUUCCACCAUUCUUUCUAAUCUUUCACGUCCUUUUUUCUCAUUCCCUCCUUCUUUGCAUUCUUUCUUUUUCUAUGCUCUCGUUCUUUCUAUUCCUCCUUUUUCAAUUUUCUUGUUCCUGCGUUCUUUCAAUUCCUUCUUGUUUUUUAGUUCCCUCGUUCUUUGCAUUCUUUUUAUUUUCCAUUUUCUCGUUCCCUCCUUCUUUCUGUCCUUUGUUUGUCUAUUUUCUCUUUCUCUCAUUCUUUCUAUUUUUUUUUCUUUUUUCUCGUUCCCUCGUUCUUUCUACUCCUCCUUUUUCUAUUUCCUCGUUCCCUCGUUCUUUCUAUUCUUCCUUUUUCUCUUUUCUCGUUCCCUUGUUCUUUCUCUUCCUCAUUUUUAUGUUUUCUCCUUCCCUCGUUCUUUCUGUUCUUUGUCUAUUUUCUUGUUCCCUCAUUUAUUCUAUUCUUUCUUUUUCUAUUUUCUCAUUUCCUCGUUAUUUCUAUUCUUUCAUUUUCUAUUUUCUCGUUCCCUCGUCCUUUCUAUUCUUUCAUUUUUGACUUUCUCCUUCCCUCGUUCUUUGCAUUCCGUUUUUUGUUUCUCGUUUCGUCAGUCUUUGUAUUUUUUUCUAUUUUCUCGUUCCCGCGUUCUUUCUAUUCUUUUCUUUUUUCAAGUUCCUUCUUUCUUUUCCUUCUUUUGUCUCUUUCCUUUUCCCUCGUACUUUUUACUCUUUCUUUUUCUAUUUUAUCAUUCCCUCACUCUUUCUAAUCUUUCUUUUUCUGUUUUCUCGUUCCCUCGUUCUUUCUAUUCCUCUUUUUUAUGUUUUCUCGUUCCCUUGUUCUUUCUAUUCCUCUUUUUUCUAUUUUCUCAUUCCCUAAUUUUUUCUCUUCUUCCUUUUUAUGUUUUCUCCUUCCUUCGUUCUUUCUAUUCUUUCAAUUUCCAUUUUCUCGUUCUCUCAUUCUUUCUAUUCCUCCUUUUCAUUUUCUUGUUCCCUUGUUCUUACUAUUCCUCCUUAUUAUUUAUUCUCGUUCCAUCGUUCUUUCUAUUGUUUCAUUUUCUUUUUUCCCAUUCCCUCGUUCUUUCUAUUCUUUCUUUUUAUGUAUUCUCGUUCCCUCGUUUGUUUUAUUCUUUCACUUCCCAUUUUCCUGUUCCCUCGUUCUCUCUAUCCUUUCAUUUUCUAUUUUCUCGUUCCCUCGUUCUUUCUAUUCCUCUAUUUGCUAUUUUCUCAUUCUCUCGUCCAUUCCCUUCCUCCUUUUUUUGUUUUCUCGUUCCCUUGUUUCUAUCCCGUUUCUAUCCCUCCUUAUUUUGUUUUCUCUUUCCCUCAUUCUUUCUAGUCUUUCAUUUUCACUUUUUCUCCUUUCCUCGUUCUUUCUAUUUUUCCUUUUUCUAUUUCCUCGUUCUUUUGUUCUUUCUAUUCCUUCUUUUUCUAUUUUCUCGUUCCCUUGUUCUUUCUAUGCCUUAUUUUUAUGUUUUCUCAUUCCCUCGUUCUUUCUAUUCCUCCUUUUUCUAUUUUCUCAUUCCCUUGUAAUUUCUAUUCUUUCAUUUUCUAUUUCCUUGUUCUCUUGCUCUUUCUAUUCCUCCUUUUUAUGAUUUUUCAUUCCCUCAUUCUUUCUAUUCCCUUUUUUGUUUCUUUCUUGUUCCUUCAUUCCUUCUAUUCUUUAUUUUUCUUUUUCUCAUUACCUCGUUCUUUCUAUAAUUUCAUUUUCUAUUUUCUCGUUCCCUCAUUCUUUCCAUUCCGUCUUGUUUUGUUUUCUCGUUCCUUAGUUCAUUCAAUUUCUCCUUUUUAUGUUUUCUCGUUCCCUGUCUCUUUCUAGUCUUUCAUUUUCUAUUUUCUCGUUCCCUCGUUCUUUUUGCUCUUUGAUUUCCAAUUUUCUCGUUAUCUCGUUCUUUCUAUUCUUUCAUUUGUGACCUUCUCCUUCCCUCGUGCUUUCUAUUCCUCCUUUUUUUGCUUUCUUGUUCCCUUGUUCUUUCUAUUCCUCCUUUUUAUGUUUUCUCGUAUCCUCGUUCUUUCUUUUCAUUCAUUCUCUAUUUUCUGGUUCCCCCGUUCUUUCUAUUCUUUCAUUUUCUAUUUUGUCGUUCCCUCGUUCUAUCUAUUCUUUCAUUUUUCAUUUUCUCGUUCCCUCAUUCUUUCUAUUCCUCCUUUUUCUAUUUCCUUGUUCCCUUGCUCUUUUUAUUCCUCCGUUUUAUGUUUCCUCGUUCCCUCAUUCUUUCUAUUCCCUUUUUUCUUUCUUUUUUGUUCCCUCAUUCUUUCUAUUCUCUAUUUUUCUUUUUUCUCAUUGCCUCCUUCUUGCAGUUCUUUCAUUUUCUAUUAUCUCGUUCCCUCAUUCUUUCCGAUCCUCCUUUUUUUGUUUUCUUGUUCCCUCGUUCUUUCUAUUCCACCUUUUUCUAUUUUCUUAUUCCCUCGUUCUUUCUAUUCUUUCAUUUUCUAUUUUCUCGUUCCCUCGUUCUUUCUAUUCUUCCUUUUUCUAUUUUCUCGUUCCCUCGAUCUUUCUUUUCUUUCAUUUUCUAUUUUUUUGUUCCCUCGUUCUUUCUCUUUCUUCUUUUUCAACUUUUUUGUUCCCUUGUUCUUUCUAUCGUUUUCUAUUUUCUCAUUCCCUUGUUCCUUCU